rnacentral:lncRNA from 1 species
UUGAUGUUUCGGUAAGGAAUUUGUUAUUUUCUUCUAAACAUCAUAAGAAUUAUUUUUAGAUUAAUAUUAACAAAGUUUAAAUUAAUGGUUGCAAGAUUAAAUCAUAUGCUUAAAUGAAAUAAUUUUACGUGACUAAUGCAUGUCUUAUGAAUAUACAUGAAUUGAUUAUUUACACGUGAUUUAAGUGAUCUAAAGCUCAAGAUAAAUAUUGAUAUGUGAUGCAAUUAAUGAUGAAAAAUAAUUAAGUUUAGAGUGAUGUAUAGAUGUGAGAAAUAUGUAUUGGUAUAGGCAUGCAUAAUUCAUAAAAUGUUCGUUAUGAUUUUUAUCUCUAAGGGGUUGCUGUUUCUCCCCGCAUCUAGUCUAAAAAGACAUGAGAGGAUCGCUCCAUGUGGAUGACGGUGUGCCCUUUGACGAGAGUGGUGAUGUGAUAUGAUUAUAGGGAGUCACAUUCAGUGAAGUAUGGUUGUGGCCAUAGUUAACAUGUAUGGCCAUUGUGGUUGACAUGGUCAUGGUUAUAUGAUCGUGUCAUUGUAUGGCAAGCUGUAAAUGUGUUGUUCGUUUGGUAAGUCGCAAAUUGCCGCUAUAAAUAAAAUAAGUUGUUCAAUCCACAUGGGUAAUCAAAAAUCUGAAAUGCCCUCAGUAGAUGGAAGUCGGAAUAGCUUCGUGCGAA